rnacentral:lncRNA from 13 species
CACAGAACAUGCGGACAUCAUUGCUUUAUUGGGAAAUUAUGUUGUCUCUUUGAAGUAUGAUCUUUGCCUCUUUGAAUUCCUGCUGCAUUCAAUAACACCUCAGCUCACGUGCCUAAAACCUGUCAAGUUCACCUCAAGUAAUAAUAUCUAUCAGGUUUCGUUUGUCCUAUUGAAGCCUAAUGAGCCUCAAAAGUUUGAACAAUGCCCAAAGCCAAUGGCCAUAUAUAAAAAUUGGUUUAGCUUGUACUUAAAUGCAUAAUUAUUGUGACCUCUCCCAGAGGGCCCAAGUGUAUGAGUACAAAUGGCCAAGUCAGUAUGAUCUAUCAGCUCUGGUUAUAUUGGCAUGAUCAACUUUGACACAGAGAUAUAAGGGGCAUUUGGGAACUUUUAAGAGUGAGUAGUAAACCUGAUCUUCAAGUCCCUGGUCAAGGUGUAUAUCCAGUAUGUAAGGUAGUCAUUUUUCUUAAUGGAGAUUACCUUUCAUGGAGAUGCUCCUGACCAGAAAACUUUUACCUGCAAGAGCUCUCAGACUGAAGUCCACUUCUCAAAUACACACUGACCUAUGAGCCUGGAAGUCAGGCUGUUCCUGAGGAUUGCAAAUUUCCUUUCUGAAAAGUAGGAGUAGUGGAUAAAUUUGAGUCAAGUGAGGAAAAAUUGUUUCCCAAGGUAUAAGUAAGCUCCUUGAAGGUAAAGGCCAUGUCUGACAUGUCUUCUUAAUGUCCUAGUCUAGAGCUGUUCAGAGAAUUCCACUUCUAGUCCUCAUGAAUCUGGCAAUUGAGACCUUGGAGAAGCUUGGUAAAUGGCUCUGAGACUAAGGAGAAACUAUAUGCUCUGCAAUUCUGAAGCUGCUCUUGUCAGACGGCAUGUUUUAGAUUGUGCUGAAAUGGCUAAGUUUUCCCUAAGUUGGCAAAAAAAGAAAUCCAUUCCAUGUGGCUGGAAUCAGGCCCACUGAGAUUUUCACCAAGGGCAAAAAUACCUUGCAUGUGUAUCAAAAGCAGUUGGAUGAAACUGGCUCUAUUUUUCUCCAGCAACACCAUCAGACUAACGGC